CUGGCUGUUGUGUUACAGUACCUUGUGGGAAGAAGAACCCAGAGAGCCAGUAGGAGCGAGGCUUCCUGUUCUUGAGGCUCUGCUGCAGGUUGAUCUUGAUGUUGUCUGCCCAGGCUCUGAAGAACCACACUCUCUGUUCCAGGUCCUGGAUCCAAGAACCCAGAGACAUGCACGACUCGUAUGAGCAGUGCUACCAAGGCAACAACAAAAGACAGAAAGAUUACUUCUUGUCCAAGUUGAAUCAAUUGCUUUUCAUUGCUUUGUUUAUUUAGACUCUAGAGGAUAAUGACACCUUGGGCUUGGAGGAACAUUUCAAAAUGUCAAAACUGACGUGAAGCAUGGAAUUGGGUUAAAACAUCAAGGUAGAUUGUGUGCAGUGAGAGCUGAGCUGUGGAGAGUAUUUACUUCAGGGUUGAGCAAACUAGAGCCUAUUCAACCCAGCCUGCGGGAGGUUUGAGUAAAAAUAAGAAAGAAACGGAGGGCCCGCAAAAAACGAAUCUGUGCGGCCCUCCACUGAAUUUCAAAAUCCUGAUGUGGCCCUUAAGGCAAAAAGUUUGCCCACCCCUGGUUUACUAAUAUACUGUACCUUCCAGUCUGAUGGUACGAUCAUGGUGAGCAGGGCAGUGUAGACCUCGGCCAGAGCCUCACUCAUCAGCACCCCUCCUCUGAUGGAGGCAGAGAAGGAGAGGAGGCUGGAGCGUACCACACAGAGGAGGUAGUUAAACCGAUCAAUCUCCUGUCGCAGGAUCACCAGCAGGGCAGAGGAGGCCGAGGCUGUGCGUCUCUCACCUUCAGAGUACAUACACGGAUGCACCCAUACGCACGCAUACAGACACACACAAGGCGGCUUUCAGUAAGAACUAUGAACAAAAAUGGACACAGAUAGAUAUAUAGAAUCUCUCAAUGUCCCUCUCACUCUCCCUAAGUCUCACUCUUAGAGGCAAAAUAAGAAAAGGUACAACCUGUGAAAAAUGAUUUCCUUUUCAGAGGACAAUACAUUUAUUCUAAUCUAUUCGUAGCCCUUUACCCUUGUACCCAUAUACAGGUUGAUAAAAAUGGCUGAUAAGUGACUAAAUUGGAACGCAGUGGCUGUACAGUAACAUGCUCUAAAUGACGUCAGAGCUCUGGCUAUGCACUUCACAGCUCUGUAUGGGUUUUGACUGGCAGACGUUCUGAACUUGAGCAACACACGUGACUAGAAGUUGCCCCCAUCCCUCCAGCUAAUUGGGUCACUUUUGACAAUUUUUUGUUGUCUGGGUGAUAGAAAUGCUGUAAAUUAAAAUUACUAUGUAUUUUGAGAGAUGAGACAUUGAGGAUUAUCAUAAAUACCACCUUUAUGUCAUACAAGCAAGCCAAACACCUGUGAGUCCAAACGUGCACUUCACAUUUCCAAAUCAUAAAACUCAGGGAUGCAGGGUUGUGUUCGAAACAAAACAACUAUAAGUGUUCUUUCUCUAGCUCCUCAACGUCUUGAAGACUCUUUGAGUCAUAAAAGUGCAUUGAAAUUACUUAGGAACCGUGCACACUUUGAGAGGUUAUUGGCCACUUGUAGACCAGUUAGCCCUCUAUCUCAAGCCCUUGUCAUUUUUUGGUCUUAAUGUUCUCCUACCCCACAUUUUCUAGGAAUAUUUUUACUGAAUAUAUCCAGAGUAUUUUCUGAUUUCGUAAACAAGUGUGGUGAAAAGUACAUUAAAUGUAAAAUGCACAUAAAAUCAA